rnacentral:lncRNA from 1 species
CUUUUUCCAUGUGUAGGAACUUGCAAGGAUGGCAGGAGGCUACAGAGAGCAGACUUGAAACCCUGUGAAAAGAAGAAAUAAGCAAAGCAAGAGGAUAAGCCCUGGGAGAACAGCGUGCUUCCCAGUGUCUGCCUCGUCCUGCACAGUAAGAGCCAGGUCAACUUCAGGAAAUAAGCAAGGCCUCUAAAAGGAAGCACGACCAGAAAAUACAGCACAACUAGGAGCAUAUGGAAGGGAUCCAAGAAGUGGAGACCAUCAUUCGGUAAUAGAAUCUGCUUUGGAGAUGAGAGAGCCUAGAAGGAUGCCCAAUGCCCAGGUGGCACCAACGCAUUCCACAGUGACACUCAAGAAGCUCAACUCUUCUUGUCUAUGGGUUUUGCCACGUUGCCCAGGAUGAUCUUGAACUCCUGGG